GCGACAAGCGGUGGAUGAUGUGAGUUAAUUCGAUGCAACGCGAAAACCUUACUACCCUUGACAUGUCCGGAAUCCCGAAGAGAUUUGGGAGUGCUCGCAAGAGAACCGGAACACAGGUGCUGCAUGGCUGUCGUCAGCUCGUGUCGUGAGAUGUUGGGUUAAGUCCCGCAACGAGCGCAACCCUUGUCACUAGUUGCCAUCAUUUGGUUGGGCACUCUAGUGAGACUGCCGGUGACAAACCGGAGGAAGGUGGGGAUGACGUCAAGUCCUCAUGGCCCUUAUAGGUGGGGCUACACACGUCAUACAAUGGAUGGUACAAAGGGUCGCCAACCCGCGAGGGGGAGCCAAUCCCAUAAAGCCAUUCGUAGUCCGGAUCGCAGUCUGCAACUCGACUGCGUGAAGUCGGAAUCGCUAGUAAUCGUGGAUCAGCAUGUCACGGUGAAUACGUUCCCGGGUCUU
rnacentral:rRNA from 1 species